UACAGAGGGUGCGAGCGUUAAUCGGAAUUACUGGGCGUAAAGCGCGCGUAGGCGGCUUUGCAAGUCGGGUGUGAAAUCCCCAGGCUUAACCUGGGAACUGCAUUCGAGACUGCAUUGCUAGAGUAUGGGAGAGGGAAGUGGAAUUUCCGGUGUAGCGGUGAAAUGCGUAGAUAUCGGAAGGAACAUCAGUGGCGAAAGCGACUUCCUGGACCAAUACUGACGCUCAUGUGCGAAAGCGUGGGGAGCAAACAGGAUUGAG
rnacentral:rRNA from 1 species